ACUGAGUAGAACCAACGAAAUAAAAAUGAGCAUCCCCACUGCAACAACAACACUCUUGAUCCUCUUCACCAUCUUCACACCGCUACACCUCAAGGCCAAUGCAGCCAAAUGCCACCCGGAUGACGAAGCAGGCCUAUUGGGCUUCAAAUCGGGCAUCAAGUCCGACCCAUCUGGGAUGCUCAGCAAAUGGAUACGCGGGACCGAUUGUUGCACGUGGCCUGGCCUCAACUGUCUAUUUGAAAACAAACGGGUCACAAGCAUUUCUCUUGGGGGUCAACCCGACCAACCCAAUAGCUUCUUAUCGGGUACCAUAUCGUCCUCCCUCUCAAAGCUCCAAUUUCUCGACGGUAUUUAUUUCACUAAUCUCCGAAACAUAUCGGGUCCCUUCCCGGGUUUUCUCCUCAAUAUGCCCAACCUCCAAUACAUCUACAUCGAGAACAGCCAGAUCUCGGGUCGCAUACCCGAUUCUUUUGGAAACUCCACUCGAAAAUUUGGCGCCUUCAGCUUCCAAGGCAACCGCUUAACCGGAACAGUGCCGAGUUCACUAUCCCUGUUGACUCAGCUCACUCAGCUCAAACUCGGCGACAACCUCCUCACCGGUGCUAUCCCAGACGGGAUUCGGAACCUCAAGAACCUCACAUAUCUGAGUUUGCAAGGCAACCAGCUCAGUGGUAACAUUCCCGAUUUUUUCACUUCGUUAAAGAACCUCAGGAUUCUAGAACUUUCUCGGAACAAAUUUUCCGGCACGAUUCCGGCGUCGAUUGCCACGCUGGCACCAACACUGGGAUACCUGGAACUGGGACACAACUCGCUUUCCGGGAAAAUCCCUGAUUUUCUAGGGAAAAUGAAGGCUCUCGACACACUCGAUCUCUCCUCGAACCGAUUCACUGGAAGCGUGCCACAGAGCUUCAAGAACUUGACGAAGAUCUUCAACCUGGACCUCUCCAACAACUUGCUGGUAGACCCGUUCCCCGAGAUGAACGUGAAAGGAAUUGAAUCUCUGGAUUUGUCGAACAACAACUUGCACCUGGGAACAAUCCCCAAGUGGGUGACUUCGUCUCCGAUUAUCUACUCGUUGAAGCUGGCCAAGUGUGGAAUAAGGAUGAAGCUGGAUGAUUGGAAGCCUUCGGAGACUUACUUCUACGACUACAUCGAUCUCUCCGGAAACGAUAUCUCAGGGAGCGCCAUUGGAUUGCUGAACAGAACAGAUUAUUUGGUAGGGUUCUGGGCUUCGGGGAACAAAUUGAAGUUCGACAUGGGAGGUUUGAGGAUCGUGGAGAAGCUCAAGUACUUGGAUUUGUCUAGAAAUUCGGUGUUUGGAAAGAUUCCGAAGGGUGUGGUUGGGCUUCAGAAGCUGAACGUCAGUUAUAACCAUCUUUGUGGUCAGAUUCCAAAGACUCAGUUCCCGGCCAGUGCCUUUGCCGGAAAUGAUUGUUUGUGUGGUCCUCCUUUGCAGCCAUGCAAGGCCUAGCACUAUCAUUAGAAUUUGCCAUACAAAGCUGUGAAUCUAGGAAACUGGUUGCUUGCUGAGGGAUGGAUGAAACCUUCUCUCUUUGAUGGAAUUGUCAACAAAGAUCUCUUGGAUGGAACUCAAGUGCAGCUAAUGUCCACUAAGUUCCAGAAAUAUCUCGC